GUGGGGAAUUUUGGACAAUGGGCGCAAGCCUGAUCCAGCAAUGCCGCGUGCAGGAAGAAGGCCUUCGGGUUGUAAACUGCUUUUGUACGGAACGAAACGGUCCUGGUUAAUACCUGGGGCUAAUGACGGUACCGUAAGAAUAAGCACCGGCUAACUACGUGCCAGCAGCCGCGGUAAUACGUAGGGUGCAAGCGUUAAUCGGAAUUACUGGGCGUAAAGCGUGCGCAGGCGGUUUUGUAAGACAGGCGUGAAAUCCCCGGGCUCAACCUGGGAAUUGCGGUUGUGACUGCAAGGCUGGAGUGCGGCAGAGGGGGAUGGAAUUCCGCGUGUAGCAGUGAAAUGCGUAGAUAUGCGGAGGAACACCGAUGGCGAAGGCAAUCCCCUGGGCCUGCACUGACGCUCAUGCACGAAAGCGUGGGGAGCAAACAGGAUUAGAAACCCGAGUAGUCC
rnacentral:rRNA from 1 species